rnacentral:rRNA from 1 species
GAUGAACGCUGGCGGCGUGCCUAAUACAUGCAAGUCGAGCGAACAGACGAGGAGCUUGCUCCUCUGACGUUAGCGGCGGACGGGUGAGUAACACGUGGAUAACCUACCUAUAAGACUGGGAUAACUACGGGAAACCGGAGCUAAUACCGGAUAAUAUAUUGAACCGCAUGGUUCAAUAGUGAAAGACGGUUUUGCUGUCACUUAUAGAUGGAUCCGCGCCGCAUUAGCUAGUUGGUAAGGUAACGGCUUACCAAGGCAACGAUGCGUAGCCGACCUGAGAGGGUGAUAGGCCACACUGGAACUGAGACACGGUCCAGACUCCUACGGGAGGCAGCAGUAGGGAAUCUUCCGCAAUGGGCGAAAGCCUGACGGAGCAACGCCGCGUGAGUGAUGAAGGUCUUCGGAUCGUAAAACUCUGUUAUUAGGGAAGAACAAAUGUGUAAGUAACUAUGCACGUCUUGACGGUACCUAAUCAGAAAGCCACGGCUAACUACGUG